rnacentral:rRNA from 1 species
AUGGCGACUAAUAAGCUCGCAGCGCUCGUCGUCUUGGUCGCGUUCCUCGCCGGGCCCGCGGCGUGCGAGGGUAUCAACAUUUGCCUCAACUUCAACGGCUGGCUGAAGCCAUCCAUUCUGGACCCGCUGUUCUGUCCUCGCGGCUCCGGCCCUCCGGUCCCUUCUCCCUCGGGGUCAGGGCUCAGCUACGGCUAUUACAACACCAGGUGCCCUACCGCGGAGAAGAUCAUCAAGGAUGCCGUGAAGAAGGCCGUGGAUGAGAACCCCGGCAUUGGCGCGGGGCUCAUCCGUCUCUUCUUCCACGACUGCUUCGUUCGGGGAUGCGAUGCUUCCGUCCUCCUCAACACGACCAACUCCCAGAACAGCGACACGGAGAGGGAAGGCCUUCCCAACAAGGACAGCCUGCGAGGGUUCGAGGUGAUCGACGAGGCCAAGACGGCGAUCGAGGCCGCCUGCAACAAUACAGUCUCAUGCGCAGACAUUGUCGCCUUCGCCGCCCGCGACGCGUCCUACUUCCUCAGCAACGGCAGCAUCAAUAUCCGGAUGCCAGGCGGCCGCUACGACGGGCGCGAGUCCUUCGCCAACGAGACCGACCAGCUGCCCGGGCCCUUCUCCAACGUCGCGCAGCUCCAGGCGAGCUUCGCGGCCAAGGGGCUCACCUCCGACGAGAUGGUCACGCUCUCCGGCGCGCACACCAUCGGCCGCGCCCGCUGCAUGUUCUUCUCCAGCCGCUUCUCUGAGAUGGACCCGGCAUAUGCCGCCAAGCUCAGGGCCCAGUGCAACGGCAACGGCAACACCAACGUGAACCAAGACGAUGUGACCUCCAACGUCCUGGACAAGCAGUACUACCAGAACGUGCUCGACAACAAAGUGUUGUUCGCCUCGGACGCCGUGCUCAACUCGACGGUAACGAGAGCGCAGGUGACAGAAAACGCGGACAAGGCCGGAGAGUGGGAGAGGAAGUUCGAGAAAGCCAUGGAGAAAAUGGGGAAAAUCAAAGGCGACCAGCAAGGCCUGGAGAUCAGGAAGGUAUGCUGGAGAGUCAACAACGUUGGCCUGUACUAA